CCUACGGGAGUCAGCAGUGGGGAAUAUUGGACAAUGGGGGGAACCCUGAUCCAGCGACGCCGCGUGAGUGAAGAAGUAUUUCGGUAUGUAAAGCUCUAUCAGCAGGGAAGAAAGAAAUGACGGUACCUGACUAAGAAGCCCCUGCGAACUACGUGCCAGCAGCCGCGGUUAUACGUAGGGGGCAAGCGUUAUCCGGAUUUACGGGGUGUAAAGGGAGCGUAGACGGCGAUGCAAGUCUGAAGUGAAAGGCGGGGGCCCAAACCCUGGACUGCUUGGGAAACUGUAGGGCUGGAGUGCAGGAGAGGUAAGUGGAAUUCCUAGUGUAGCGGUGAAAUGCGAUGAGAUUAGGAGGAACACCAGUGGCGAAGGCGGCUUACUGGACUGUAACUGACGUUGAGGCUCGAAAGCGUGGGGAGCAAACAGGAUUAGAUACCCGGGUAGUA
rnacentral:rRNA from 1 species